GUGCAUCAGGAAACAUCGGAGGUCCAACGAUGACAUCAACGCCUAGAGAAAGUAAAUCAGAUGCAAGAAGCAUGAAGAGUGCACAGGUGGCUCCAAAACCUGCAGCAAGUAAAUCAGAUGGUUGAUGGUUGUUCUAUAAAUGGGUAUGUCAUAUGUGUUAAUUGGAUGGCUGAUCUUAACUACUGUAAUUACUUAUGCGAGUCUAUGGAAUAACUUUUUAUUUUAGUUAUGAAUGCUAAAACAUGUUAUAAGCAACCUCAUACGAAAUUGAACAUCACAGAUGUCAUCGAAUAUAAAAAACUUCUAGGGA